rnacentral:rRNA from 1 species
AUUGAACGCUGGCGGCAUGCCUUACACAUGCAAGUCGAACGGCAGCACGGGUGCUUGCACCUGGUGGCGAGUAGCGAACGGGUGAGUAAUAUAUCGGAACGUACCUUAUUGUGGGGGAUAACGCAGCGAAAGCUGUGCUAAUACCGCAUAAUCCCUAAGGGGGAAAGCGGGGGACCGUAAGGCCUCGCGCAAUUAGAGCGGCCGAUACCUGAUUAGCUAGUUGGUGAGGUAAAGGCUCACCAAGGCAACGAUCAGUAGCUGGUCUGAGAGGACGAUCAGCCACACUGGGACUGAGACACGGCCCAGACUCCUACGGGAGGCAGCAGUGGGGAAUUUUGGACAAUGGGAGCAACCCUGAUCCAGCAAUGCCGCGUGAGUGAAGAAGGCCUUCGGGUUGUAAAGCUCUUUUGUCAGGGAAGAAACAGCAGCUCUAACACAGUUUGCGAAUGACGGUACCUGAAGAAUAAGCACCGGCUAACUACGUGCCAGCCGCCGCGGUAA